GGUUCCUAAGGCCCGGGACAGCACUGUCAUGUCUGCCAGCCACUUGAUCCGACUCAGAGAGAAUGCACACAGGAAGGCACAGGGAUCCUACCCCAGGGCCUUUGCACUUGUUGCUGUCUCUUAGAAUAUGCUUCCCUCCAAAUACCUUCAUGCCUUCCUUCCUUUCUCUCCAGAGGUCCCUCCUCACCUGUCACCUUCCCAGUGAGGUCUCCCUGGGCUCCCCCAUAAAGUGUUUGCACUCUCCCCUCACCUCCACCCGCUUCCGUCUCUCCUUCCUCUCUCGAAAUUAUUACCACCCAACAAAGAUAUAGAAUGGAAAUAUUCAAUCCCAUUUGUUUCCAAAGUUUAAUUUCAUGAUAGCAUGUUCUCAUCUUCUAGAUGCACCAAGACUCAACACCUAGACCCACGAGAGUAGAUGCUCAGGAAAGAUUUGCUGACUGAACACAUGAUUGUGUCUACGCCUAGCAGUACUUUGUUGCGGGAUGGGCCCUGGCAGGGUUGGUAAAGCCCUCAUUUGUAGACAUGGAACCUCCCAGCUCCAGCCCUGCUAAGAACUGACAGAACUUGGCUAGCUCCAUGUUUUGUUCACGUGACUCUCAACCUGGUGUGGCCUGGACUCUAGUCCCUGCCUCAAGGAAAGUCCAGACUGACAUAGAAAAUCCCUGCUCACCAGCCUUGACCUUGGGAGAAAGCCCCUGACCUGUGAGUGGACAGAAGGCCUGGUGGUCAGCCCGUGGGAGCCCUGGAGCGUGCACUGCUGGAGCAGCUCAGAAAAAGCUGAGAAGCCAAGACUUGACUGUCAGUCCUGGAGAAUUAGAACAUGCCUGCUAAAUUUCAGUCCACUCUGAGGAAGGGGCAGUGCCCACAAGGAAACCUAGUGGGUGGGGUUCUGGCUGGGACUCAUCUGGAGUUCCCAGGGCAGAUGCCCGGCCCCAGCUUAUAGACCAUGAUGCGGCUGGGCUUCCGUGUCUGAUUCUUAAGUGCCUCAGGUAAACAGACUCUCCUUUGCUUUGCCAGGAGGAAUGACAUUACUAUCAGCAUUGUAAAAGUCUGUGGCCUUUGGGAGAGUAAUUUUACUUCUAAGACUCUCCUCUACAGAGAAGUGUGCACACUGUUCCCAGUGGAGUCUAUAAAGAUAGCAAAGAGCAAAGACUUAAAACAGAAUGGCUCUGGGUUUGAAGUGUUGUGUAUCUAGACAAUGAACAGCCCACCUUUAAACAAGCCCCACAUGGACUGAAGCGGAGGCAGCUCCAAAUGUAUUAGGUGACAGUGCCACAUGGCUCUGUGUGAUGGUAAGAUUAUAUGUGUACAUGUCAUCUCGAAAGGAGAAUUCGGCUUAUCUCUGGGGAGAGAGUCUGCAUCUUUUCUCAUUUGUACCGAGUAUGGAGUGUGUAUCUAUCUCUCUGUCAGAAAUGUCAAGGGAAGGGUUCACCAUUGACCUGAUGCUCACGAAGGUUAGGAACCAAUGCCAACCACAAUGCCCACCUCUACCUUCAGGAGACAGUAAACGCCUUAGAAUACAAAACCCAUAAACAACCAAGACUGUGGUGCCUGCUGGGGCUGGGCCUGAGCUGCACACAGAGGCUAGGUACCGAACAGCUGCCAUGGUAAACUGGCACAGUUAGGCACGCGGCCGGGUUCACACGCCCUCUGCCCUGACUUUAAAGACAGCAGUCUUGGCCCAGCUUCCCUCACCCCCUAUGUAUGAGCAGAGAGCUAUACUUGCUGGGUUUCCAGCUCUUGUAUUUGGACUCCUCUUCUCUUUUCUCUUUUUUGAGAGAGGGUCUCACUGUGUAUUCGUGGCUGCUCUGGAACUUCCUGGACCAGGCUGGCCUUGAUGUAGAUCUCUGCCUUCUAAAAAAUAAAAAUAUGUUUUAUGUGUAUGAGUGUUUUUUCAGCAUAUAUGUCUGUGCCUGGUGCCCUCAGAAGUCAGAGGAGGACAUUGGGUCCCCUAGAGCUAGAGUUACGGGUGACAGUGAGCCAACCCAGAGGUGCUAGGAACUGAACCUGGGUCCUCUACAAGAGCAGUGGCCUCUUAGUCACUGAGCCAUCUCUCCAACCCUCUUCAUUUUCCUCAGCUCACUGUCAGUUUCUCUAUGGCUUCCAAACCUCUAGUUUUUCUUUCCCUCUCCUAGGUCUGAGGCCAAUAUCCUCUACCCUCCCGCAACCCCUGCAGGAUAGGGUUUGCAGAGAAGAUCUUAUCCAGCAGUCGAAAGCGUUGAUACUUGCUGACAAUGUGUGCCCCUGGUGUCCCUCCCACAGAACUGUUCAUGCUCCCCUCUCCAGCCUUUCUCUGUACACAGCUCAGCCAGUAUCCCUGAGCUGCCAUGAGCUCUGCUCAGGUCUUUCCCCAACGUCCAUGUCCUACAGUAGCAUAUCAUACCUAACUCACCAGCGUCUCAGAAAGGAGGCCAGUAGUCUCCACAGCAGCUUUAUGAUCUCACCAGGGCCUCUGUCCUUCUGCUCAUAUUGGCCCCCCUUCUUGCACGUCCA
rnacentral:lncRNA from 1 species